rnacentral:rRNA from 1 species
AACCUUCGGAGGGAUCAUUACUGAGUUUACGCUCUACAACCCUUUGUGAACAUACCUAUAACUGUUGCUUCGGCGGGCAGGGUCUCCGUGACCCUCCCGGCCUCCCGCCCCCGGGCGGGUCGGCGCCCGCCGGAGGAUAACCAAACUCUGAUUUAACGACGUUUCUUCUGAGUGGUACAAGCAAAUAAUCAAAACUUUUAACAACGGAUCUCUUGGUUCUGGCAUCGAUGAAGAACGCAGCGAAAUGCGAUAAGUAAUGUGAAUUGCAGAAUUCAGUGAAUCAUCGAAUCUUUGAACGCACAUUGCGCCCGCCAGCAUUCUGGCGGGCAUGCCUGUUCGAGCGUCAUUUCAACCCUCAAGCUCUGCUUGGUGUUGGGGCCCUACAGCCGAUGUAGGCCCUCAAAGGUAGUGGCGGACCCUCCCGGAGCCUCCUUUGCGUAGUAACUUUACGUCUCGCACUGGGAUCCGGAGGGACUCUUGCCGUAAAACCCCCAAUUCUCCAAAGGUUGACCUCGGAUCAGGUAGGAAUACCCGCUGAACUUA